GAUUGUAUAUGCGCGUACAGCUUUCUUUUCCAUGCGCGACCCAACCAGUAUAAAUAGUCCGCGCGUGGGUUACUGGGUUACCCAGGUACGUGACUGACAGCUUUUUACAGGCUAGUACGCGACUACAGUUUUAUUUGCAGGGUAUUACGCGAAAGACUAUGAAUAUUUGGAAAGGAAGGCUUCGGUCCUUUGUGACCUAAUUAAGGCCAAAAAGUCACCAGUGCCUCCGUAGUUUAAUUUAUAUCAUUUAAUAUUGUAUAACGCUUAAACUUAUAACACAUGUAUUCGCCUAUCUAGAGGGCGUGAUACUUCGUAGAUCUUCUAAUGAUGUUUUAAUUCAUAUCUUUAAUAUUGUAUAACGCUUAAACUUAUAACAAAUGUAUUCGUCUAGAGGGCGUGAUACUCCGUAGAUCGUAUAAUGAUGUUUUAAUGAACUUGAUAUUGUAUAUAGAUAUUGUAUAGAAAGUGUAUAAAGGAUCGAGAGAGUUGGAGAAACAACUUUGUCGUAUAUCUAUAGUUUAUUAUCUACAUUUAUUUAAUGCAUAAAUAACAGUUUAUUACAGACAUGAGUGUAACUCCCCCCCCCCCCCCCCCCCUUUCUCCUUCUUCGUCCUGUCUUGGAAGGGACAGUGUGUCCUUCAACCUGGAAUGGACACAGAACGUUAUAUGUAUAGACAAUGCAUGGGCUUGUCUUGGAGGACACAGUGUCCUUAGAUUUGGACAUGGACACAGUGUCUCUCUUCUUCCCCCCCCCCCCCUUCUUACUCAUUUGAAUUGCACUCAUUAUUGUAUAUAGCAUGACAUGUAUAUUAAUAGAAUGACAUUGAAUAGUGGACAGUUGAAUAUGUACACUCGUAGUUAAUUAAUUAAAUAGCUGCAUUUACGAGCCUAUCUAAAUCAGGCAAUUAUUACUUUACUACAUAAUUAAGAGGUGCGAACUUAAGACAGUAAGGGACGAAUUCAAUGGAAUGCCGGUUAUCUUUGAAUUUAGAAAGUCAAAUCUUAUACAAGUAUAUUCUGGAGUAAGUUAUAACUAGGAGAUAAAUACUCGAGGCUAGUUUAUAACGGUGAUGAUGGAUUUAUAUAGGUACAAUGUUUAACCGACAGAGUGUGUUAGCUUGUUACUUAAUAAAGGAGUGGAAAGACUUUUGAAAUCCUGGUCGGAAGGGUGUAUUGGUUUUAAUGUUCAUUCUUAUAGAAUGGGGACGAUAAAGGGACACAUUGGCCAAAAGGUGUCGGGCGCAGGUAGAUAGUUGUUUCAAGGGGUAGGAGUACCGAGAAUACUAGUAGUCGGUCAGAAUAGAGUUACUUGUAAUAGGAGUUAGAAAGAAAUGCUAACUUUGGUUUGACAGCCAUGGUGGUUUGUAAAGUUCGUUAGAAAAGCCUCUAUCUAAGUUCAGUAAGUUUAUACAUGUACAUUAUUUAAAUCGUAUGCAGUCUAUACUAGUCAAUUAAGUGUUGACAUCCUGUAAAUAUAAAGCUAAGAAAUACUGUAUAAAUUAUAUAAGCAGUAAACAUUUAUUACAAUAAUUAAUUAAUGUAUAUCUAGGGUCUAGUAGCAAUCAGUAAGUUAGUAAGUUCAUGGAAGUAUUUCUAUUCUUGUUGAGAGUUUUACAGUUCUUAUAUUGUUGAACAGUUGCCUAGAAAUGGCUUAGUGAAUAAUAAAUUCAUUAUUCGACUUUAGAUCGAUUUCAAGUUACAAA